rnacentral:lncRNA from 1 species
UCACUUUUUCACUGUCUCUCUCCCACUCCUAUCCCUUCGGUGGCUGUGCUGGGCCAAAGCUGCAGCAGCUUACUGGCAGAGCUGAUUGGCCAUGACCACGUGAGGGAAUCCUUGUACAGCUGCUGCGAGGCCUCCAGGCUGGCAGCAUAUUUUCUGACAAGCCAGAGCAGUUCUACCACGCUGCAGGAAGUGCUGUUCUUUGCAGGGUGAUCUUGCACUUGGAGAAGAUGGAUAGACAACAUUUUGGGCUGAAGUUAAUGUAGAUUCAGAGACACUAAAUAAGAAAUACGCUUUUAAUAAGCAAUGGUGUUAGUUUUUCUGAAUGCUCUGGAACAAGAAUAACAUCACACUGUUAAAAGAAUGAGACUAGUGUACCAGAAGGUGUUGUUAGAGGGCACAGUACAGAGGAAAGAUCAGAACUCAACAGGCAAUGGAAAACAGGAACAAGUUUCAGGUAAUACACACCUGCACCAUACUCCACAAAUAUCAAUGCAUUUUCUUAGUCUUGCCCACCUUAAAAAGCUGUAUAUUCUUAUCUGCCAAGUCCUUCAACAGAUAAGAUUUCCUCUUCAAGACGUGAUGGAGCCAAGUGCACGCUCUGGCUCUCUUCACUUGGUUUGCAACAAAGGCAUUCAUAAAUGCUGGGAGAAAGAUGAGUUGGUGCUGUAGCUCAGCUUCCUGGUGUUUCAGCCUCCUCCUCCCAGCAGCCUUUGCAGAGCUGUUCUGUUGCUGUCCACGCUGAGAGUGCACAGCUGGUACUCAGGAUUCCAAUUCAAGAAGGCAGUAUCAGCUUCUGACUUUAUUUUUUCCCUCUGUAGUCUUUACAUGUUACUUUCUAGAGAGAAUGGCAGUUUUGAAGUGAAAUCAACAUAUUUCCCUUUUGUAAUCCAUAUAUUUACAAGGCUUUUUAAAUAAAUUCUUUCCUUUAAACAGAUGAUAGCAAACUAUGACCUAACCCAGCUGACUGGCACCCAAAAUGAAUCCUUGUUUAGCUUAUCUAGCACAGUUUUAAGCUGAUUACAUGCACUCUGGAGAUCUUCUUUCACCAGCGUAGUGUCAAUUAAAUGGCCAUAGUGCUCUUCGAUGAAUGCUGC